GAUGAACGCUGGCGGCGUGCCUAAUACAUGCAAGUCGAGCGAACAGACGAGGAGCUUGCUCCUCUGACGUUAGCGGCGGACGGGUGAGUAACACGUGGAUAACCUACCUAUAAGACUGGGAUAACUUCGGGAAACCGGAGCUAAUACCGGAUAAUAUAUUGAACCGCAUGGUUCAAUAGUGAAAGACGGUUUUGCUGUCACUUAUAGAUGGAUCCGCGCCGCAUUAGCUAGUUGGUAAGGUAACGGCUUACCAAGGCAACGAUGCGUAGCCGACCUGAGAGGGUGAUCGGCCACACUGGAACUGAGACACGGUCCAGACUCCUACGGGAGGCAGCAGUAGGGAAUCUUCCGCAAUGGGCGAAAGCCUGACGGAGCAACGCCGCGUGAGUGAUGAAGGUCUUCGGAUCGGAAAACUCUGUUAUUAGGGAAGAAAAAAUGUGUAAGUAACUAUGCACGUCUUGACGGUACCUAAUCAGAAAGCCACGGCUAACUACG
rnacentral:rRNA from 1 species